rnacentral:rRNA from 1 species
AGAAAUCUCACCAGGCCCGGACACUGGAAGGAUUGACAGAUUGAUAGCUCUUCCUUGAUUCGGUGGGUGGUGUUGCAUGGCUGUUCUUAGUUGGUUGAGUGAUUUGUCUUGUUAAUUCCUAUAACGAACGAGACUCUGUCCUGCUAAAUAGUGACGCGGUUCAUCGAACCGUGGGCCACUUCUUAGAGGGACUAUCGGAUUCAAACCGAUGGAAGUGUGAGGCAAUAA